CUCAGGACGAACGCUGGCGGCGUGCCUAAUACAUGCAAGUCGAGCGGACUAGAUGAGGCGCUUGCUAAUCUGAGGGUUAGCGGCGGACGGGUGAGUAACACGUAGGCAACCUGCCCUCAAGACUGGGAUAACUACCGGAAACGGUAGCUAAUACCGGAUAAUUAAAUUCGCUGCAUGGCGGAGUUAUGAAAGGCGGAGCAAUCUGUCACUUGAGGAUGGGCCUGCGGCGCAUUAGCUAGUUGGUGAGGUAACGGCUCACCAAGGCGACGAUGCGUAGCCGACCUGAGAGGGUGAACGGCCACACUGGGACUGAGACACGGCCCAGACUCCUACGGGAGGCAGCAGUAGGGAAUCUUCCGCAAUGGGCGAAAGCCUGACGGAGCAACGCCGCGUGAGUGAUGAAGGUUUUCGGAUCGUAAAGCUCUGUUGCCAGGGAAGAACGUCUCAUAGAGUAACUGCUAUGAGAGGACGGACCUGAGAAGAA
rnacentral:rRNA from 1 species